ensembl:lncRNA
CCUGAAGGCAGCGGGAGCCCUCUCCUCCGCCCGUCCAUCGCUCCUUUCACCGGUCUACGCUCGUGUGUAUGAGAGGGGGUGAACGCGCAUCAUUUGUGAGAAACGCCGCUUGUCACCCAGACGUUCCUGUCGCUCGGCUCGACUCGCUCCGUCCUCCCAAGUUUCCUUUUCAUCCUCACUUUCUCUCCCCCGGAGCGACUCGAGGAUCCAGCCGGGCUGUGCCGCCUUGCCGUUGGGCGUAGCUGGGGAGGAUUCUGCUAGCUCGGCCGCUGCACCGACUGACCAGACCUCGCUGUCCUCCGGAAAAGCCCGAAGACCCCCGUGGCCAUCCUGUGAGAUUUGAGUCGGCCCCCCCUCCCCCUUCCCCCCUGCUUUCCAG